rnacentral:rRNA from 1 species
AACGAACGCUGGCGGCAGGCUUAACACAUGCAAGUCGAGCGCCCCGCAAGGGGAGCGGCAGACGGGUGAGUAACGCGUGGGAAUCUACCCAGCUCUACGGAACAACUCCGGGAAACUGGAGCUAAUACCGUAUACGUCCUUCGGGAGAAAGAUUUAUCGGAGUUGGAUGAGCCCGCGUUGGAUUAGCUAGUUGGUGGGGUAAUGGCCUACCAAGGCGACGAUCCAUAGCUGGUCUGAGAGGAUGAUCAGCCACACUGGGACUGAGACACGGCCCAGACUCCUACGGGAGGCAGCAGUGGGGAAUAUUGGACAAUGGGCGAAAGCCUGAUCCAGCCAUGCCGCGUGAGUGAUGAAGGCCCUAGGGUUGUAAAGCUCUUUCACCGGUGAAGAUAAUGACGGUAACCGGAGAAGAAGCCCCGGCUAACUUCGUGCCAGCCGCCGCCGUAAUAC